rnacentral:rRNA from 1 species
AUGUCCUAUCCCUUGAUGCCGGAGGGCGCGACGGCGUUGGAGAUCCCCACCGACCGCCCGGCCUUCUACCAUUCUUUCAAGUCCUUCGGUGUCCCCGCGGCCGCGACCGCGGUCCGCCUGGUCACUCCGCCGACGGAGACGCGCACGUCCCGCCCAGAAUGCAUCUCCAUCUACAUGCCUCCUUCCCCUCCCGAGAUGGUCUACUUCGCGAAGCGCUUCGCGUACGCGUACAUCACCCCGGCGACGGCCCCGUGCCGCGCCGACCCGGGCGCCUUCAUCCGCCGAGUCUUCCGGACCCUGGCGCUCGACCUCCCUCAGAGCUUCGAGCUCCUUCCCCCCGGCCACGGCGCCGACGCGACGGUGCGCUUCCGCACGCCCGACGACCGGGAGGCGGCCAUGCGCCGGCAGCCGUUCGAGCUCGACGGCGCCACCGUGAAGCUGGUGCGCGAGGGGGAGACCAGCAACUGCUCCCGCGCCCGGAACGACUACAUCGCCCACGUCGCGCUGCGGGACUACCCCGUCGAGCAGCGCACGGAGAAGGAGAUCGGCGCCAACUGCGCCAGGUUCGGGUUCGUGCGCGAGAUCGACCCGGCCUGCUUCACGGCGCCCGACCUCGCCACCGUCCAUGUCGUCCUUCAGCUCGGGCAGCCUCGAGAAAUCCCCCACGAAGUCCGGAUCAGGUACCAUGGUGGCUCCACCAGCGUCGUCCCCGUCGAGAUCGUCAGGCUUUGGGACCACGCACACUCCUCCGACGCCGAUGGACAGUAUGUGCCUCUCUUCCAGGCCCCGACUGCGGCGGCUUGA